rnacentral:rRNA from 1 species
UGCUUAACACAUGCAAGUCGAACGAUGAAGCCGUUCGGGGUGGAUUAGUGGCGAACGGGUGAGUAACACGUGGGCAAUCUGCCCUUCACUCUGGGACAAGCCCUGGAAACGGGGUCUAAUACCGGAUACCACUCCUGCCUGCAUGGGCGGGGGUUGAAAGCUCCGGCGGUGAAGGAUGAGCCCGCGGCCUAUCAGCUUGUUGGUGGGGUAAUGGCCCACCAAGGCGACGACGGGUAGCCGGCCUGAGAGGGCGACCGGCCACACUGGGACUGAGACACGGCCCAGACUCCUACGGGAGGCAGCAGUGGGGAAUAUUGCACAAUGGGCGAAAGCCUGAUGCAGCGACGCCGCGUGAGGGAUGACGGCCUUCGGGUUGUAAACCUCUUUCAGCAGGGAAGAAGCGAAAGUGACGGUACCUGCAGAAGAAGCGCCGGCUAACUACGUGCCAGCAGCCGCGGUAAUACGUAGGGCGCAAGCGUUGUCCGGAAUUAUUGGGCGUAAAGAGCUCGUAGGCGGCUUGUCACGUCGGAUGUGAAAGCCCGAGGCUUAACCUCGGGUCUGCAUUCGAUACGGGCUAGCUAGAGUGUGGUAGGGGAGAUCGGAAUUCCUGGUGUAGCGGUGAAAUGCGCAGAUAUCAGGAGGAACACCGGUGGCGAAGGCGGAUCUCUGGGCCAUUACUGACGCUGAGGAGCGAAAGCGUGGGGAGCGAACAGGAUUAGAUACCCUGGUAGUCCACGCCGUAAACGUUGGGAACUAGGUGUUGGCGACAUUCCACAUCGUCGGUGCCGCAGCUAACGCAUUAAGUUCCCCGCCGGGGGAGUACGGGCGCAAGGCUUAA